AAACAGAAGAAACCGCAGAUACAGCGAGGACUGAUGCAGUCACACCUUUGUAAAAUCCCGGGACCUCGUGGGAAGCAGAGGAGAAAGAUGCUCAUAUGCAGCUGGUGCCCAUCCUCCCCAAACGGACAGAGGCAGCUCUGCUUCCCUGAAACCGGGCAUCUGCAACUGCAACUCUGGUGAGAGGUACUAAAGGAAAACCAAUAAUUCCAAGGACUCAAGCACUCACAGCAGGAAUCUCACAGCAAAACAAACAGAAGCAGUAAGGAAAACACUCUGAGCACUGGCAACUUCAUCAGAUAUAAAUGAUACGUGAUUUCACCUCUGGAGAGCUGAUAGAAGCUGUCAUAGGUUAGCAAGCAUAGUCCCAGAAGGGAC